AUUGAACGCUGGCGGCAGGCCUAACACAUGCAAGUCGAACGGUAACAGGAAGAAGCUUGCUUCUUUGCUGACGAGUGGCGGACGGGUGAGUAAUGUCUGGGAAACUUCCUGAUGGAGGGGGAUAACUACUGGAAACGGUAGCUAAUACCGCAUAACGUCGCAAGACCAAAGAGGGGGACCUUCGGGCCUCUUGCCCUCGGAUGUGCCCAGAUGGGAUUAGCUAGUAGGUGGGGUAAAGGCUCACCUAGGCGACGAUCCCUAGCUGGUCUGAGAGGAUGACCAGCCACACUGGAACUGAGACACGGUCCAGACUCCUACGGGAGGCAGCAGUGGGGAAUAUUGCACAAUGGGCGCAAGCCUGAUGCAGCCAUGCCGCGUGUAUGAAGAAGGCCUUCGGGUUGUAAAGUACUUUCAGCGGGGAGGAAGGGAGUAAAGUUAAUACCUUGGCUCAUUGACGUUACCCGCAGAAGAAGCACCGGCUAACUCCGUG
rnacentral:rRNA from 1 species